rnacentral:rRNA from 1 species
UACGUAGGGUGCGAGCGUUGUCCGGAAUUAUUGGGCGUAAAGAGCUCGUAGGCGGUCUGUCGCGUCGAUCGUGAAAACUUGGGGCUUAACCCUGAGCUUGCGGUCGAUACGGGCAUGACUGGAGUUCGGCAGGGGAGACUGGAAUUCCUGGUGUAGCGGUGAAAUGCGCAGAUAUCAGGAGGAACACCGGUGGCGAAGGCGGUUCUCUGGGCAUUACCUGACGUGAGGAGCGAAAGUGUGGGGGAGCGAACAGG